rnacentral:rRNA from 1 species
GUACACUCCUACGGGAGGCAGCAGUGGGGAAUAUUGCACAAUGGGCGCAAGCCUGAUGCAGCCAUGCCGCGUGUAUGAAGAAGGCCUUCGGGUUGUAAAGUACUUUCAGCGGGGAGGAAGGCGAUAAGGUUAAUAACCUUGUUGAUUGACGUUACCCGCAGAAGAAGCACCGGCUAACUCCGUGCCAGCAGCCGCGGUAAUACGGAGGGUGCAAGCGUUAAUCGGAAUUACUGGGCGUAAAGCGCACGCAGGCGGUCUGUCAAGUCGGAUGUGAAAUCCCCGGGCUCAACCUGGGAACUGCAUUCGAAACUGGCAGGCUAGAGUCUUGUAGAGGGGGGUAGAAUUCCAGGUGUAGCGGUGAAAUGCGUAGAGAUCUGGAGGAAUACCGGUGGCGAAGGCGGCCCCCUGGACAAAGACUGACGCUCAGGUGCGAAAGCGUGGGGAGCAAACAGGAUUAGAUACCCUUGUAGUCCCAUGA